rnacentral:rRNA from 1 species
UUGGUUCUUAGUUUAAGCAAGUGUGAACCACCCGAUCCCUUCCCGAACUCGAUUAGUGAAAUCACUCACUGCCACAUGUACUGCCUUCAGUGGGAGACGUGGCAAGGGCCAAGGUAUCGUCC